UUAUUUGUUCCGUGUUGGUUUUUUUGCCUCAACUCGGGACAGCUUCUCGAAGUUGUUCUUUGUUGUCCCUUGUUCUUUCACAGUUGGGCAGCAGCUGAUUUCCUGUCCCCGGGAGCAUGUACAGUUAAUUAAAUGACAACCCUGGGCGGGCGGAUCCCGGCCACGAUCAGGUCUUCCAGGAACCCAGAUUGAUUCCAUCUUCUUGCUCAAACCAACUUGAGGAACAUUCUACAAACUAUGGGACCAGUACUCUUACACAGUGCUAGGCUCAUGAGAGGUUGGCCAGCACAUUUACACAAACUACUGUUUGACGCAGCUGCUGCCAUGGUCAGCUGGUAGGACCAGCAUCCCGUGCCCAGAAGCCAGUUCAGAAUGACUGAAGAAGCAUGCCGAACACGGAGUCAGAAAUGAGCAGUUGAACGGGACCCAGUGGAGGAUGAUGUGGACAGCAAGAAAAUAAAAAUGGAGAGAGGAUUGUUGGCUUCGGAUUUAAACACUGAUGGGGACAUGAGGGUGACGCCUGAGCCGGCAGCAGGCCCAGCCCAGGGACUGAGGGGGGCUGAGGUGAUGGCCAUGGGCAGAGGCGAAGGGCAGGCAGGUGAUGGGCCUGUGGACAUGCGCACCACACACAGGUGGAGUAGGAGCUAUUUUUCCUACAAUGGGAAAUUUUUAUCUUCCUCCCUGUGUAUACAUAUAUUUCCAGCGAAUGCAGUUUAUAAACCAAGGUCUGCAGGGAAAAUGGAAGUUCCUAUGGCCAGGAUCCUCACCUCGCCCUAAUCUACUUGAUGAUGUAAUUGGUCUACUGUGUAGACACCCGCUUACACACCCGCCGGCAAUGAGUAGUUACUGCCUGAGUUGCUGCAGAAGGAGCUCUGCCCGGUGCGCUGGGCGGAGGCGGGUUACAGACCUGCAGGCUGCUGGUACAGACGUGACUCCAGCAUUCCACCUGCCGCCCUGAGAACAAAGCCCUUUGUCAAAGCCCAGGAUCAUGCCUUGCUAACGUGUAUUGCACAGCGUAAUACAUGAAACUUUGUCGAAACAGCGCUUAGCAAAUGAUUUCUGAAGUUAACGGAGACGUUUCCCGGCAGAAGUGCUCUGGGAACACAUCCUGAAGUAUCGGCAAGUCCCCGGGCCCCGUCCCCACCCCG